UGGGGAAUAUUGGACAAUGGGCGGAAGCCUGAUCCAGCAACGCCGCGUGAGGGAUGACGGCCUUCGGGUUGUAAACCUCUUUCAGCGGGGACGAAGCGCCGAUGAUGGUGGUGACGGUACCCGCAGAAGAAGCACCGGCCAACUACGUGCCAGCAGCCGCGGUAAUACGUAGGGUGCGAGCGUUGUCCGGAAUUAUUGGGCGUAAAGGGCUCGUAGGCGGUUUGUCGCGUCGGGAGUGAAAACGCCGGGCUUAACUCGGUGCUUGCUUUCGAUACGGGCAGACUAGAGGCAUGCAGGGGAGAACGGAAUUCCUGGUGUAGCGGUGAAAUGCGCAGAUAUCAGGAGGAACACCGGUGGCGAAGGCGGUUCUCUGGGCCUGUACUGACGCUGAGGAGCGAAAGCGUGGGGAGCGAA
rnacentral:rRNA from 1 species